ensembl:miRNA gmo-mir-731 gmo-mir-731
AAUGACACGUUUUCUCCCGGAUUGCGAAACGCACGAGCGGCAACCGGGAAUCUCGUGUCAGCU